AUCCGUCGUUAACCUUGCUUAAAUAUAUUUAACCACAUUUAACGGCAGAGUAUUAGUGUUUGGAGGUAGGUGCCGUUUGUGGUCCAAGGCCGCAACUAGCCUUGAUGGCAAGAAGUAUUGCCAUAGCAGCUGCGCAGCAACAAUGAGAGCAACAAUCAGUAAUAUUAGCAGCAAAAAGAGAUAGGCAUAACAAUUCUGCCAAGGCAUACCUCCACAAUGGUCAGUACCUUCAAGUUCAUAGCUCCAGUAUGAAUAAGGUCACAUUCAUAGCUCCAG